GAUGAACGCUAGCUACAGGAUUAACACAUGCAAGUCGAGGGGUAACGAGAGGAAAGCUUGCUUUCCUUGUCGACGACCGGCGCACGGGUGAGUAACGCGUAUCCAACCUGCCCCCAACUAGGGAAUAACCUUGCGAAAGUAAGACUAAUACCCUAUAAUUUCCUCAGAUGUCAUCUGACGAGGAAUAAAGAUUUAUCGGUUGUGGAUGGGGAUGCGUCUGAUUAGCUUGUUGGCGGGGUAACGGCCCACCAAGGCAACGAUCAGUAGGGGUUCUGAGAGGAAGGUCCCCCACAUUGGAACUGAGACACGGUCCAAACUCCUACGGGAGGCAGCAGUGAGGAAUAUUGGUCAAUGGGCGGAAGCCUGAACCAGCCAAGUAGCGCGCAGGAUGACGGCCCUAUGGGUUGUAAACUGCUUUUAUACAGGAAUAAAGUUAGCCACGUGUGGUUAUUUGUAGGUACUGUAUGAAUAAGGACCGGCUAAUUCCGUGCCAGCAGCCGCUGUAA
rnacentral:rRNA from 1 species